ensembl:lncRNA
GGAGAAGAUGAUCUGCUGGAUCCUGCUGCUCAUCAACCUGACCUCCUGUGUCUGUGGAACAUUUGUAGUGAAUGUGACACAGACCUCCUAUCAGGCAGAGGAGAACCAUAACAUCACACUGGAAUGGACGUUCACAACCAACACUGACAGUUCCCUCAACUCUCUUUCUGUCUACUGUCUACUGAUUACUGAUCACAAGGUUUCAGUCCUGUAUCAUCUACAUGAUGGUGUUGAGAUCUCAGAGUCUCAGGAUGAACAGUUUAAAGGACGAGUCCAGUGUGACAAAGACGUCCUCAAAGAAGGACGAAUCAGACUUCAUGUGUCCAGACUCAGGACUGAAGACUCGGGUCGGUACCGGUGUAAAGUGAAAACAACUUAUGGUGACAACGUUGGUGAAUGUCGACUCAAUGUCACUGCAGCUGCUGAUGGGCCCAAACCUCAGAGACCAGAGAGUCCACAACCAGAGAGUCCACAACCAGAGAGUCGGGGAAGGAUCGGUCUCUAUGUUGGACUGGGACUGACAGCAGCUCUACUGGCUGUCUGUGUCGUAUUCUGCUCUGCCUCCUGUCACUGUAUGACUAAAUCUGCUGAUAAGAAAUGAAUCAUCUCUGCAGCUGUACAGAUGUUGACACAACCCAUCAGGACUUACAGGACUCUGUUUGGAGGACCCUCUUUCUGUCACAAUGAGCCAUCAGACUGUUUAAGACCUGACUGAUGAAACCAACAGACUCUGAGACUCUCUACCUUCAACAUCUGUUUUAAGUCUCUUCUUAAAAUGCACUUUUACAGUCUUGUCUUCUGGCGGUCCUUUUUCUAACCUUUUAUUCACUGUGGUUUUAUUGUUGUUUUUAAUUGUUUUAUCUUUUUUUAUUUAGUGAUUGAUAAUGUUUACUUUGUUUAUUUUAUAUGUUGUUACCGAUGCUGCUAUGGUUCUUAGUGUGAACCCAGUUUACAUUAUUAUUAUUAAGAUAAUUAUCUUAAUUCAUUCGUUCUGAUGGACACUGUUACAAUGCACUGACUUUAUACUGUUUAUAAUGUGUGUAUAUAUUGUAAAUAAAUCUCUAUUUAUAUGAAAGAAGUCUUUUAAUAGUCUUUAAUAAACAUAUUGUAUUGUAUAUAUUUCCUAUUGAAUGCAGUGAUUGUACAUGUAUAUGUGAAUGUGUUUGCCUUCCUCCAGGCAGUCCAUUGAAACUUGAGUCAGAGCAUCCAUCACAGUGAACAUCAUGUCUCAUCAUGUGUUCUACUGUAGCUGUCAGAGCUGUGCUGCUGCAGUUCAAAGUGCACAUUGAUUAGAAAAGUAUCCACUGCACCAUGAUCCAACAAGAACUAAAGUGACACAUUAAUAACAGACAGUAUGUGGAGCAUGUUAAAGUCUCUGCAUGCUGAUUUAAAGUGAAGUAGAAUGAAAGCAGCAGCAGCCUGGAGGAGAAGACAAACACAUUCAACAAGUAGACAUCUAAGGAAGCAACAAAGGUCCACCUAGUGGUGAACAAAUAUACAGCAGAACCAAGUGGGCGUAACUUCCUGCCUCAGUGAGUUUCAGUUCUCAUUGUUGUCAAUGUUUUCUGAGUAUUUUAUUACUUUACCGAAUAAAACCGAAGAAUAAAUAUUUUUUCCAUUAGGCAGCAACAUAAACACUGUCUGCAUAUAAGGGAAAGACAACUGUAAAUAAACAAUAACAAUCACAGUAACAAAACAAAUAACUGUGGUCAUGAAGCUGAUCAUCUUCUUCCUCAUCUGACAGCUCGCUGCUAUUCAACUGUUAACUAAUCAUUAGAUUGAUAGUCAGCAGUGUUUGAGUUGUGUUCAGGGUUCAUGUACUGUUGGUUCAACAUGUGUUUCUUUCUACUGUGACACAGAUUAGAAAAUGGUUGAACAUGAUGGUUUGGUACAGCUGUCCAGUUGAGACUUGGGUAAAACAAAAUACAAAUAUGCUUAUAUAUGUAAUUACCAUGAAUUCAUUCAUGCAAAUUCAAUAAACAUAGUAAAGUAAUUCACAAACUAAAUCUCAUUUUACAUUCUUCCCUUUGUUCAGAUGAAAAGCUGCUGCUGUCUGUUCCGUUACUCCAGCCUUUGAGUUUUUAACUUUAACUUCUUAACUUUUAUUCUCUUUUUGUUCGUUCUUAUUUGUUCACUGUAACUCUAUGAAGUCCUGUCCUCUCUAGCGAUGUUGUUUGACAGAGUCUUUGUGUUUUCUUUCGUGUUUUAAUGCCGCUUCCACCGGGACACGCUGCCGUAUGAUGGCACUAACGGCGGUCGGUACAGUGGACAGAGCCGCUGAUUUACCGGCUGAACUCUGGAGGAAACACACCGGGGAUGAAGAGGAGGGAAGCAACGUGGGGGGAAGAGAGGAGGGUGGAGACGGGACGGCUUUAUGGAGAAGAUUGAAGCGGUCUCUUAACGCGGAGCCACGCAGAGUACCGGGAGUCUGAUGUGUUUCACUGAGACAGGACUGCACAGGGACAUUACGGACCACAACGUCUCUGUCGAUGGCUUCCACACACACACACACACACACACACACAUAUGGAGUAUAUGUAACGAAAGUAAUUUCUCCCUGGGAUUAUUCUGAUUGUGAUUUCAAGAGUUAUGAGAAAUAAAUCUGAUUUAAACUAACAUUUAGUGUUGAAACAGACAGUUAACAUAUUGUUGCUGGUUGAGGGAACACAGACAGGAGACACAAUGGCGGUUUGUUCUUUAUUUUACUUUCAUUCAGACUCCCUCCCUCCUUCAGUUCACUUCUUUCUGAUGAUGGCUGUACAAUCGGGUAAUCUAGGCUGGGGGCUGUGGCUCAGAGGAAGAGUGGGUCUGCAUACCGAACCACGUUCACAAAUCGGAAGGUUUGCGGUUCGAGCCUGCAAAUUGUACUGCAGUUUCAGUUCUCUGUACAGCGAACUGAAACUGCAGCCGUCAUAGGAAGUGAACUGAUCUGAACUCUACAGCAGUGCGGGUUGGUCUGGGAACAUUCUCUCUGCCUCAUGCAGGCUGAGUGAGUGAGACUGCUAUAAAUAGAGGUGGGGAAGCCAAACUUCUAGCAAAUCCCCAACCAUUUAUAAAUAUGAUCUCUCUACAGCACGUUGGUGGCCAGCAGUUUAAACUGCAGCAGGGGGAAUUCACUGUAUCAAACUACAUAGUUUUACUAUUAGAGUUCUGUUGAUAUCUAACCUACACACUGCUCUUUACUUCAUGUGGACAUGAAUAUAUAUAUAUACAGUGUGGGUUUCCAGAUUAAAAGCGUUCAAUCAUUUCUGUGGAUUAGGUUGUUCUUGUAUUGUAUUUAUCAAAGACAGAGGACUUGUGUUGGUAAAGACAUGGUCAAGCAUGUCAUAUUUGUACCCAUCACUGUUCUCUGUAUCAAAGGGUUGGAUGGACUUACUGUCAACUAGAAAUAUCCAUCCCAUGUUAUUCAUUUAUAAAGCUCUACUGUUCUAAAGCUUCCAAACUACCUUACAUCACUACUGUCAUUAUAACGAUCCAGUAACUACCUAACCUUCCACAUCCCUCGUUAGCACUAAUAAUGCCACAUCUGGUUUCUUGUCCUUAUAAACUAUAUAAACAGUUUAAAACUAAAUGGUAAGCCUGAAAUGAUAUCAGACCUGAUCAAAUGAAUUUGUAUUUCACAAUAUAUAUCCAUCAUUAUUUCUUCCAGACAUUGAUCUGAGUACUGUAGAUAGCCUGUAGCUCCAUUAGAAGACCUCCUACUUUUGAGUGUUUUUAAUACAUAUAAAUAAU